rnacentral:lncRNA from 1 species
GCAAGGAGCUAGAAAAGCAGGUGUAAUGACUACUCUUCUGAGAUGAGUUCUUAAUUAAUGCACAGAGAUCCUGGAAGUCCCACCUCUCAACAGUCAUGAUUGACAUCCAAGGAUACAAAAAUUGCACUAAUUGAGCUUUCCAUUUAUACACUUCUCUGCAGCCAGCUCGUCAGAAAAGGAGGGCACCAACUGGAGAGUCCGAAGGCUCCUUUCAGCUCUAGGCUCCUCUCAGCAGUCCAUCACACUACACGAGACACUGCAGAAACACAAGGCAGUCAGAUUCUUGGCUCAUUAGAGAUCCACUCCCAUGGAAAGCUGAAGCAUCUAAGCCAGUCUGACCAAGAACAAGACUUCUCUGACCAUCUAAGCCAGUCUGACCAAGAGCAAGAGUACUCCCAUAGCCAUUGCUGUUAA